rnacentral:rRNA from 1 species
GGAACGCUGGCGGCGUGCCUAAUACAUGCAAGUCGAGCGGACUGAUGGGAGCUUGUCUCCCUGCAUGUUAGCGGCGGACGGGUGAGUAACACGUGGAGAACCUGCCCUGUAGACUGGGAUAACAUCGAGAAAUCGGUGCUAAUACCGGAUAAUACAUGGAAUUGCAUAAUUCCAUUUUAAAAGAUGGCUCCGGCUAUCACUACAGGAUGGGGCCGCGGCGCAUUAGCUAGUUGGUAAGGUAACGGCUUACCAAGGCGACGAUGCGUAGCCGACCUGAGAGGGUGAUCGGCCACACUGGGACUGAGACACGGCCCAGACUCCUACGGGAGGCAGCAGUAGGGAAUCUUCCGCAAUGGACGAAAGUCUGACGGAGCAACGCCGCGUGAGCGAUGAAGGUCUUCGGCUCGUAAAGCUCUGUUGCUAGGGAAGAACAAGUGCCAUUCGAAUAGGGUGGCACCUUGACGGUACCUAACCAGAAAGCCACGGCUAACUACGUGCCAGCAGCCGCGG